rnacentral:misc_RNA from 1 species
UGAAUGGGCUUUGUGGCCCUGCUUUGCUUGUUGGCUCCUCUCGAAUGCAUGAGCUUUCCAAUCCUUGGCAAAGUAUCGUCGAUGUGAUAAUUGUCUACGUCGCCCGAGAAAGCCGAAAGGGGAAAUCUUUGAUCACGCCAGGGUGACCUGCGUCUGACAAAUUCGACCUCAAAUCAGGUAGGACUACCCGCUGAACUUAA